rnacentral:rRNA from 1 species
UACGUAGGUGGCAAGCGUUAUCCGGAAUUAUUGGGCGUAAAGCGCGCGUAGGCGGUUUCUUAAGUCUGAUGUGAAAGCCCACGGCUCAACCGUGGAGGGUCAUUGGAAACUGGGGAACUUGAGUGCAGAAGAGAAAAGCGGAAUUCCACGUGUAGCGGCGAAAUGCGUAGAGAUGUGGAGGAACACCAGUGGCGAAGGCGGCUUUUUGGUCUGUAACUGACGCUGAGGCGCGAAAGCGUGGGGAGCAAACAGG